rnacentral:rRNA from 1 species
UACGUAGGGUGCGAGCGUUGUCCGGAAUUACUGGGCGUAAAGAGCUCGUAGGUGGUUUGUCGCGUUGUUCGUGAAAUCUCACGGCUUAACUGUGAGCGUGCGGGCGAUACGGGCAGACUAGAGUACUGCAGGGGAGACUGGAAUUCCUGGUGUAGCGGUGGAAUGCGCAGAUAUCAGGAAGAACACCAGCGGCGAAGGCGGCACUCUGGGCUGGAAUUGACGCUGAGGAGCGAAAGUGUGGGUAGCAAACAGG